GAAUUCCAUGUGUAGCGGUGAAAUGCGCAGAGAUAUGGAGGAACACCAGUGGCGAAGGCGACUUUCUGGUCUGUAACUGACGCUGAUGUGCGAAAGCGUUAUCCGGAAUUAUUGGGCGUUAAAGCGCGCGUAGGCGGUUUUUUAAGUCUGAUGUGAAAGCCCACAGGCUCAACCGUGGAGGGUCAUUGGAAACUGGAAAACUUGAGUGCAGAAGAGGAAAGUGGAAUUCCAUGUGUAGCGGUGAAAUGCGCAGAGAUAUGGAGGAACACCAGUGGCGAAGGCGACUUUCUGGUCUGUAACUGACGCUGAUGUGCGAAAGCGU
rnacentral:rRNA from 1 species